AUGCUGAUGUGCUCCUUUAAGAUCCUUGCUGGAGACAGCCUUCCUGAAUUUGUGGGAAAACCUUUGUCCACUGAAAAAAACCUGAGGGUGUGCUCCCUAACUCCUGACAGAACUGAAACCACUAGAAGUGAACAAGAGACAGCAGUGCUUGGAAUCCCCUGGGGUUCCAAUUCAGCUUGUCAGCAAUCUCAAGAACACCCAAAUGAAGAGGAAAAAGCAGGAAAAAGCCUGCCUGGAGUGUGUGCUAACUCCUUGGAGGUGUCACCCUGA
rnacentral:lncRNA from 1 species